rnacentral:tRNA from 1 species
GGGCGAUUAUCUCAGUUGGAUAGAGUACUGGCCUCCGAAGCCAGGUGCCGUGAGUUCGAGUCUCACAUCGCCCACCA